rnacentral:rRNA from 1 species
UACGUAGGGGUCAAGCGUUGUCCGGAUUUAUUGGGCGUAAAGGGCGCGUAGGCGGUUUCUUAAGUUUGAAGUGACAGUGGGUGGCUUAACUACCCAAGGCCUUUGAAAACUGGGGAACUUGAGGACCAGAGAGGGACAUAGAAUUCCGGGUGGAGUGGUGAAAUGCGUAGAUAUCCGGAGGAAUACCAAAGGCGAAGGCAGUGUCCUGGAGGGUGACUGACGCUGAGGCGCGAAAGCUAGGGGAGCGAACAGG